UAAGUAAAGCAAAUGGCAUGUUUUCUUAUGAAGCUGAAAGUAAUUUUGUCCUCCUUUCAACUCCCAGAAUUGCAAACCCCUGCCACAGAACCCACUACUUUCGACUUGAGUCUGUUAUUUCUGGAUCUGCCUACCAGAGUCCAUAUUCCUCACUGAAGGUGGGGUUUAGGUAAUUGGGCAAUAGCCAAAAGUUUGAGGCUAAAGAUUGGUAUCAGAUUUAUACACUAGAAGGCAAUAUCGAGAAUGGCCUUGGAGAUAGGAAAAGAGAGAUCAGAAGAUGGUUUGAAGGUAAGAAGAAAUGUCAGAAGAAGUUGACGGACCAGAAACCGGGUCCUUUACAGUUGAGGAGACAUUCUGCUGGAUAGAGUUUUAAAUGUUUCCUCCAGUUAUCUGCCUUAUUAUGCAGGAUUUUUGUCUCAGGAGUCUCCCUUUGAUUUUAUAAACUGACGCAACUUCCUGUUUUGUUAUGAAUGCACACUGCUCCAGUCCUUCAAUAAACCCAUCGCACAUUUUCACCAUGUUGUCUGUAGGCACUUUUUCUGCAGUAUUAACAAUGUCAUCUUCAUUGCCACUAGUGUCACAAUCACCUUGAUUCAAGACCAUUUCAGCUACCUCACAGUCAAUGAAUGAACAACUGGAGCUUUAUUCUUGAUGUUAAAAACUUUAUUAUACCCUUCUUCCAGCUUACUAACACUUUGAAGCUCAUACAUACCUUCGUUACGGAAUUAUUACACUGUAUUGUAGUAGGUCCUAUAUCCUCUCCCCACUAUGCUGUAAAAUAGUCAAGUUAAGGCCAUGGAUCCGGUCAUUUUCUCUUCAUUUCCCAGGAAC